GGGGAGCAGUUAUGAGGCCUGUAGGGCAGAAGAGGCCCCAGUCUCAGCCUCCAUCUGAAAACCUGCUAUGUGAUCCUGGGCCAAUCCCUGGCCCUGCCCCUUCCUGGCUCAGGGACUUUGGCCUGGAACGUGGAUGAGGCAGCUGUGGCUCCAGCAGCCAUCCUGGACCACGAGGUGAUCGAGAGAAUGAAGGCCCCAAGCUCACAAUGAUGGAGCAGAAAGACAGAAAGGGGCUGUGUUUCUAACGACACUGUGGCGCCAUCAUCCCAGCUCUGCUCGUGGUCACCUUCUAUGUGUGAGAGAAAUAAUCUUCUAUCUAAGUAAGCCACUCUUAAAUGUAUCAGUUUCUCCUUUACCUUGUAUUCUAGUGUUGUCUUUGUUUGUGUUAUGUCCAAUCUCUCUUACUAGCCACUGAAUAAAAAAUCUCACUGAC